AUGAUUGUGUUUGUUUGUGUGUGGCUGUGUAUGUGUGUGUGGUUUCCUUGCUGCAGGCGAGGGAGAGAGAGAGGGGGCAGUCUUAACCUCUGCGCCUCGGCUAAUUUUGUUUUUCCUCUUGCCUCUCAAAACCGACACAAGGACUUUAUGGAAAUCAGGCCCUGGCGAUCAAAGGCAGAUAUACCACACAUACAUAUUCACAUGAACUCUGUGCAUCCACUCUGAAACGCUGGGAAACCUACUCAUUCCUGUAGUGGGGUUUUAAAGUCUCGCUGUGGCCAGGUUUCAGUAGUACUGGACUGAAGCUGGCUUAGCUCUGAAACUCAUAAAACGUUGUAUUAUGCUUUAAUCAUAGAACAUAUCUCCAUAACAUAUGUAAACCAGAUCAGCACUAAGUACUGGAGCUUAAAGGUUCUCUUCAUGCUCAGAUCUCGAAAGUGAAUUGAAGUGGCUUACUGGAGGAAUUGUACAAAGUUAAACAUUCAGGAUGUUUAUUUAGCUCUUUCUUUAUUUCUCUGUCUGUCUGUCUGUCUCUGUCACGCACACACGCACUGCUGAGACACCUCUCUGUUCCUCGGAGUCUCCUCUACCACUGCUGAGACACCUCUCUGUUCCUCGGAGUCUCCUCUACCACUGCUGAGACACCUCUCUGUUCCUCGGAGUCUCCUCUACCACUGCUGAGACACCUCUCUGUUCCUCUGAGUCUCCUCUACCACUGCUGAGACACCUCUCUGUUCCUCUGAGUCUCCUCUACCACUGCUGAGACACCUCUCUGUUCCUCUGAGUCUCCUCUACCACUGCUGAGACACCUCUCUGUUC
rnacentral:lncRNA from 13 species